UGACCAGAUCUGCACAUUAUUGAAGGC
rnacentral:piRNA from 1 species